UAAAUAAAGCACAAAAUAUUAAAUUGAAUUACACUGUCUCUCUCAGAGGUUCCCUGUCAUGGACUGGUAAUAUAUUAUGUAGUGGGUCAAUAUUAGAGUGGGACCCACGUCUACCAGGAGACUAUUAGACCACACCCAGGAGGUCUGUGGGAUUCACUAAUCACCAAAUCAUCAGCAACUCGUGUCAGGAGGAAAUGAUAAUCUAGGUCUUGUUGGAUACUUUGUCAUUGGGUUUGAGGUUCCCUCUUAUCCUGUGUACUUACCUCAAGAUACACCCACUCACUGGCAUUAGAGGAUACUCUUCCUCAAUGAACCCAUACAAGUUCAAACAUGUGGUUUAUUAUGUCGUAGUAUCAGUUGCUAUAAGAACAAGGAUUGUUCAAGAUCACUUGAUAUCAAGAUACAGAUGAUGUUAUUUCCAUUAUCAAAAGAAUCCCAAGUAUUAAUAA